rnacentral:rRNA from 1 species
GAUGAACGCUGGCGGCGUGCCUAAUACAUGCAAGUCGAGCGAACAGAUGAGGAGCUUGUCCCUCUGACGUUAGCGGCGGACGGGUGAGUAACACGUGGAUAAACUACCUAUAAGCCUGGGAUAAACUAGGGAAACCGGAGCUAAAACGGGGUAAAAUAUUGAAUCGCAUGGUUCAAUAGUGAAAGACGGUUUUGAUGUAAUUUAUAGAUGGAUCCGCGCCGCAUUAGCUAGUUGGUAAGGUAACGGCUUACCAAGGCAACGAUGCGUAGCCGACCUGAGAGGGUGAUCGGCCACACUGGAACUGAGACACGGUCCGGACUCCUACGGGAGGCAGCAGUAGGGAAUCUUCCGCAAUGGGCGAAAGCCUGACGGAGGAACGCCGCGUGAGUGAUGAAGGUCUUCGGAUCGUAAAACUCUGUUAUUAGGGAAGAACAAAUAUGUAAGUAACUAUGCACGUCUUGACGGUACCUUAUCAGAAAGCCACGGCUAACUACGUG